CCGGUUGAUCCUGCCGGACCUGANUGCAAUCGGAUUGAUACUAAGCCAUGCGAGUCAUUGUAGCAAUACAAGGCAGACGGCUCAGUAACGCGUAGUCAANCUACCCUAUGGACGGGAAUAACCUCGGGAAACUGAGUAUAAUGCCCGAUAGAACAUUAUNNCUGGAAUGGUUUAUGUUCCAAAUGAUUUAUCGCCAUAGGAUGGGACUGCGGCCUAUCAGUUUGUUGGUGAGGUAAUGGCCCACCAAGACUAUUAAAGGUACGGGCUCUGAGAGGAGUGGCCCGGAGAUGGGUACUGAGACACGGACCCAGGCCCUAUGGGGCGCAGCAGGCGAGAAAACUUCGCAAUGUGCGAAAGCACGACAAGGUUAAUCCGAGUGGUUUCUGCUAAAGGAACCUUUUGACAGUCCUAGAAACACUGUUGAAUAAGGGGUG
rnacentral:rRNA from 1 species